UGCCAAAGAAGAUUAACAUUUGAAUGAGUGGGCUGGGAAAGGCAGACCCACCCUUAAUCUGGGUGGGCACCAUCUAAUCAGUUGCCAGCAUGCCUAGAAUGUAAAGCAGGCAGAAAAAUGUAAAAAGAGAGACUGGCCUAGCCUCCCAGCCUACAUCUUUCUCCUGUGCUGGAUGCUUCCUACCCUUGAACAUCGGACUCCAAGUUCCUCGGUUUUGGAACUUGGACUGGCUCUCUUUGCUCCUCAGCCUGCAGUCUAUUGUGGGACCUUGCGAUUGUGUGACUUCAUACUUAAUAAACUGAUAUGUAUGUAAAUACUUAAUAAACUCAUAUAUAUUUAUUCAUACUUAAUAAACUCAUACAUGUAUAUUCCAUUAGUUCUAUCCCUCUAGAGAACCCUGCCUAAUACAACACGAGGAGUAGUAGCAGACCACAAGAAAGAAAAGCAGUUUGUUUUCUGUCACUGAUCUGCAAAAUAUACAUCUCUAAAGGAGUUUCUCCCAAAGCCACUGGUUACAUGAUUGGGUAAAAUUGGAACAAGAACAAUCAGAGGUUGACUGAGUCCUUUAAAAACGGUAUUUAAAAGUUCAGUAAGGUUUUACAUGGACUAUAAAGUCUCUAAACGGUUUUCUUAUUUAUAACUGCUCUACCAGCAUCUCCUUCAGUAAAAUCAAAAUAUUCAUAUUUUGGCUUGCAAAAAAUGAAACGAAUGUGAAUUAUGUAUCUGCCAAAUAAUACAGGAGGAUUUAUGUUUUUAUGUGAUACACUUCUCCUAUUUUGUUUUCUUUUUCCUGUGCCCUGGCUUUUUUCCACCUCCACUGGCUUCAUUUCUACAUUCAUUUUUCAUGUAUUCAAACAUACUUUUCCUAAGCUUCAUGUUAUAUUAGCCUCAUUCCAAAUACCAAAUAUUUUAAAUUUAAUCCUUGAAUAUAUGCAAGAUAUUAACUUUUAUGGUGCUGUUUCCAUAACCCUUGACACUGUAUAUUUUAAAGGACUUUAAAAAUUUAUGACAAUUGUUCUUAGUUUUGAGAAAAUAUGUGCUCAGUAUUUUAAAUCAUUAGUGCUAACAUGCAUCAAUGUGAUAUUUCUUUUAUAUGUAAAUAUAAGCGAUCUCUUUGGAUGUUUUGUAGUCUUUUUUAUCUGCUUCACAACUGUUUAGCUUGCAUAUUUUAAGAAUUGUGAAUCUCACUGAUGCA
rnacentral:lncRNA from 1 species